UUCCGCCUUGGGAGGUCGCUUCCUGUUAGGUGCCGGAAGGGGCGGGUCCCCGGAGCGUGGGGGAGGAGUCUAGAGCUACGGCACGCAAGACGCAAGCAACCUGGAGCACUGCGGCGGCUGUGGCGGCGGCCUGGAACGGAGGCCGGGCGAGGUGUCAGGGGCCCGACUUUCGGAUUUUUUCCCUGGAGCCGCGUUUCCAACGUGGAAUUCCUCGGCCGGAAGGGUUUUCCAGGCCUGUGUUAACCCUAACUCGACCAGUGGAUGAGCGAGUUGGGCUGUGGAACCCCGUGUAAACCGGGGCGUUGUCAGAGUCAGAAGACGGCGCCUGGCGAGGACUCCCCUCAGAAGCCCGGUGACUCUGCGCGGCGGAUGGAAUAAGGCACCAGGCGGCCGCAUCAUCCGUCAGCAGGCUGGGCCCUGUGCGCGCCCCUGUCCGGUCCUCGCCGCUAGGUGGCGCCGCAGGAGCUGCCCCUUUCAUUCCUGCCGAGGCCCGGAUUAUUUGAGAUUCCCAGAAGUCACCGUCUCAAGAAACCCCGAGAAGGAUGGCAAUGCUUUGGUGGGGGAGCCGCCUGGAGCCCCAUGGCCGUCUGGAUCUGACACAUCGCUGCUCUGGUGACACCUGCUUUGUGGUGAAGGUUGCUUCCUGCUUUAAAAAAGUACGUCUGACUCCAGUCACCCCUGACGCGCCUUCAGCUGAGUAACAAUCUAGGCUCUUGGCUUUUGAUGUUCUCAGCGAGCUUCUGGACGCAGGCUGAUGGACGGACGACAGCUUUACACACCUCUCUGCAGGACCCGUGACUGAGGCAGCCGUGCGUGGAGCCGGCAAGAUGUGACUGCUGGUUCUAGCCGCUUCUGGUGAGAGCGUUUCUUGGCCCUUCACCCGUAGCUUCUUCCAGACCCUCGGCCUGUCUGCUCUUCUCAGCCUGGAGCCCCCGCGUUGUGACAUCGUCUAGCAUUUAAAGCAGAGACAGAACCAACUCUGCUCCCCAGGAAUUGAACUUUUGUGGUUUGUCUUCAGAAAAGCAAACCACAUGCUGAGUUGGACUCACGUGGACUGCUUUAGCUGUGGGUGAAUAGCCAGAGCUUCCCCCCUUCCUUCUUCCCCAGUGGGGGCUGGCGGAGCUUUUGCUGUACGUGAUCCAGGCCACCCCAUUUUACUCCCGAAGAGCUCGGAGUUGUCUGUGUCAAAAACAGAGAAGGAAGGGAAAGAGAAGCAGGACGGCUCCCUGCUAACCAGGCACCCGUGAGCCUUCUGGGCCCUGGGAGGUAGGCUCGCAAAUGUUCUGGUGUCUCGGGGACAGGUCUGGUGUUUAUUGUGGAGAAAGACUGCCAGGUUCGCCCUGUGGUGUUGUCCUUUCCUAGGCGUAUGGCUUUAGUUUCUGGAUGCCCCGGUUGCCUCAUUUGUGAACUGGGGUUAAUGAUCUCCACUCCCGAGGGUGCCAAGAUGAGAUACGCUAACGGACAGUUAGCUUAACCAUAGGUUGAUGGUUAGUGCCACGGAAGCGUCAGCCUGAGACGAUGCGAGUGGUGAUGUUGGUGACGACAGCGAUGCUGGUGGUGAUGAUGGGCCUCACAGCCUUGGCUGCACCCUGUCUGGGAGCUACUGCUAACGGCCAGCACCCAGCCUGAGGAUUCUGACCCCCACCUCUUAAGCCCAGAGAACCCGUUCUGGCUGUCUUCUUUCCGACCACUUGAGGAGAAUGUAUUCUUCUUGUUCCAUCUGGAAGAGACGCUGAUGUGUCGGGGCAGACCCUUCAACUUGUGUUACUGUCCCGGCAAUCGAUCAGGUGCCCUGAACACAACCGUGGUCUGGCUGAAAGAGUCAACCGGUGGGGCGGCGGGGUGCUGGGCAUAGAGGAGAAGGGCAGCGGACACGGGCACAGUGCUUAUCUAAGCCGCUCAGUACCGUCCGUAUCACCAGGGCUCCAGGAAGCGAUUAGCUGAAUGGUUUCCGUCAGAGGAUGUUUUUGUGACCUCUCCUUACUCAGGGCGGCCCGGACCGCGAGGCCCUGGCCUGGCUGGCGGAACACGGAGGCUGCGGCAUAUCCGGCCCCCUCUCCUUCCUAAGCUCUGUCACUGGCUUCCUGGAGCGAGGACCCGACGUGGUCCCUCUCCUCUGCUCCACAGUGGGCUCAGGGCUGCCGUGGGGGCCACACUCUUCUCCUGGCUCCUUCUGCAUUGGGUGUUCUAAACAUCCUCACUCGGGAGAUCGAGUGGCUCUUAAAAGAUCUGCCGUGGCCCGGUCUUAGAGGAAAGAACAGACAGAGUCCACACAGCAGUGACUCCCGUCGGCCCAGGAGGACUGGUUAUAGCUGGGUGACGGGGCGAAUGCGCCAUGGUUAGAGGCCUUGAAGGGAGCGGGAGAUGGCACUCCAAAAUAUGCCACCUUGGCCUGAGGGUUAUUUUGAGCUGAAGAUAAUUGAGACUCAGACGCAGAAAGAAUCCUUGUCGGAGCCUCCCCUAUCUGACUACCAGAAGCAACUUCUGGGAAGUCAGGCUGCCACCAAGUCCUUCUUUAGGGCAGGUCUACUCCCACAGGGGAUCCCACGGGUGAACCUAUCCCAGGUCUCUUCUCCGGGGGUUUUAUGGCCCUGAAAGGGCCUAAGAGGCCACUUGCACCUGUAGAGACAAGUGGUAUCACAAACUUCCUGACAUCUCACUUAUUUUCCUGAAACACACUUGUCUUUCCUAAAGAAGUCUAUUUGUUCCAACUUUAAGAAGGAUCUUUCUCCCCUCUCCCUCUCCCCUACCAAGUUAGAUAUAUAAAUGUCUAAUUGAAACUACUGAACCAAAUAUUUGUCUUGGCUCCCAUGGGCGCGUGACUAAACUAUUUUCUUUGGUUAAUCCGUUGCUUGUCAGUUUAGUUCACAGGCCCCACGCACAUAACGUAAGAGGGGCUCCUGCAGCCUUCUUGACAGAGGCUCCCCAGCUUGGCCAGUCAUGGGGGUGGGGUGAGGGAAUGCAGGUGGAAGGGGGGUGGGGGAUGGGUGCCGGGACCGAGGACCCCUACACCCUCCAUCUCCUUUUCUUUCCCCUGCGUGUGACAUCACUCUCACAAAACUCAGCAGAAUGAGUGGAAAGAUCAAGAUCGCUCAUCAUGUCCUUGGCAGACAUUGUCACGUUGUGAAGGCAGAAAACUGAAGGAACACAGAGCCCGCAGCACGGGGAGUGGCAGGGCUGGUGGCACGACCUUGAAGCGGGAGAAGGCGUCUUUUGCGUUCGGGACUUGUCACUAUUUUAAGCAUAAUGGUGACAUCUGGUGUCGCUUACAUGUUGUCUCUUUCAAGCAGUAACCAUUUUUCCCUCUGAAUGAAGGCAGCGUCUGGUUCCGAAAGCCUUCUCCAGAAUUUCUGGUUGCCACGGGCUUUCGUUUGGAUGGUUUGGACGGGUUCCGUCACUCUGGCUCAAGCCGUCCGCCUGGCCUCUGGGUCACUGCUUACGCUCUGUGCUAGCUGGGAUCCCUUUCAUCCAGAUCUACUGGAUGAUAACGUCCCUUGAUCCAAGAUCCUUAACUAGGGAUCACCCAGGAGAGAGGCAAAAAGCUGAGCCGGCCCCUCCUGCCUGUUUCCGAGCAGUGAGCGAGGCUGCUGCGCCAUGUCUGGCCCAUCGUCCUGCAGGGUGGGCUGUGCUGGCAGGCCCUGCGAGCCUCCCCACUGAGCACCGGGGACCCCCCUGCGCCCAGACCGUGGGACGCCCAGAGCCUCCUACGUUCGGGGGCUCGAGAAAGACCAGCGGAAACAAAAGGCCCACUCUAAAAAACGCACAAAGGGCUUAACGGACAUUUCCCGAAAGGAGAGACACAGACGGCCAGCGGGCCCCCGAAAAAAACUCCUCGCAGAACGUGGGUCACAGCCACCCCGAGGUACCGUUUCACACCCACUGUGGUGAUGACAAGAAAACAAAACGCGAAAUAACGAGUUCUGGCGGGACGGGAAACGGCGCGGCCGCUGUGGAAAACGGCGUGGUGGCUCCUCAGCAGGUGGAACGUGGAGUCACCGUAUGGCCCGCGAUCCCGCUCCCGGGUGCACGUCCAAGGCCGCCGAGAGCAGGGGUCUGAACGGAUCGCCGUACGCCCAGGCUUGUAGCAGGUCUAUUCACAGCAGCCAAAGGUUCAGACGACCUCAGUGCCUCUAGACGGACAGAUGGCUGGGCACACGUGCCCUGUCCACGCAGGGGAGGGGAGAGGGUGACUGCGGAGGCGGAGCCCAGGACCGGCCUUUCUCCGCAAGGUCUCCGGGGCCAAGAGCUGCCAGCUGGCGUCUCGGAGGAGACCCCCCCCUCCCCCCAGGCCAGGAGGAGGCUCGGGGGCAUAAACACAAGCACGUCCUGGCCUCGUGUUCAGUGACAGGGUGUUCAGGGAGCCGCAGGACAGUCUGAAGGCUUCCCACGAGGCAGUUCUCCGGGCAGGAUGCGGGGCUGCCGGGGGCCUUCCCAGCAGGAUCCCCGGAGAACUCCAAGUUCGGUCUCUACAUUUUCAUUAAGAGCUUCCACCCGGGGAGAAUGAUGGAUUAGAUUUUGCUGUUGGAAAGAAGCCAGAUAAAAUUAGAUGCCUCUUGGCUCCCACCACCCACCCCUUGCCCCUGUUCUUUUCUGAAAGCUUUACUUUUCUCUCUCGGUUCCUGGCAGGAAGGAACCGAGCGGGUACGGUCGCUUCCUUGAGCCUCCCUGCUUUAAUUUCAAGAGUGAUUUCGCUAUUGCUCUAAUUUUCUUCUGUUCUGGAACAGCUUUGGGCCUUGGGCUCUGCAUUGGGGGUGGGUGUGCGCGCGUGUGGUUUCUGUCUUCUUUUCAGUAAGCUUGUUAGAAUUUAUAGCUGGAAACGGAGAGAAUACUCUGCCUCACCAAAGAAAUUCAUCUGAUUCCUCACGUCUUGUCUCUUCUCUCCAAGUUCUCGUUCUUGGCCAAGCUAACCUGCCGUCUCAUCCACCUAAAUAGAAUCGGGUUUGCCUCCCAGCCAGCCACUUUGUAGCAAAGCCGGGAUCUGACGGUCUGCUGUCUUCUGUUACCGUGCGCCGACAGUGGAUUUCGAGAAGAGCUGUUGUGUUUUCCCAGUGCAGGAAAGGAAAGACUAGGGUUCCAUCUGUCCAGAGGAGCUGAGAGCGCAUGGUUGGCAAACCUCCAGGGACAGACUGUGGGGCGGUCGCAGGUUGCAGAGGGCGCCGGAGCCGGGCGUGGGUGCCAUUCACGUGGGUGUUGUUUUCUUGAAGUCGAACCCUGUGGAAUUCAGCAGAGACCUCGAGCGGAUUCGAACAGCCUCAGCCCCCACGUCCCGGGUCUGAAAUCAACCGUGUGGGAGGAGCCGCCCCGGCAGAGCUGCGUGCCCGCCGUGCAGCCGCGUACCUGCUCCCGCACCCUGACCAGAACAUUCCCCUUGUGCGUGCAGGCAGCCCACGCUCAGGGGCACGCCACGGUCUGAAGGGCCGGUCAUCCGGAACCCGGCGUUCCCAGCGACGAGAGCCUCACGGGUCUCUCCAGGCCUUUUUCUGGGCCGCCAGUGCGGACAUGGCAGACACACAGACGCACAGACACGGCCUGAGAGGGUCUUCCUUCCAGCCCUGCCCUGAGUUCCCGCGCUGUCCCGCAGGGGCACUCCGGGCAGCUGAAAGCAGCUUAAUGGACAGUUUUGUUGGUUUGGUGAUGCCAUCUCAUGACGACAUUACCCAAAUCCCUUGGAACAUUUUUGGGACUGUGGAUUCAGGGGCCUGGACCAAGGGACUCGGCAAGGGAGGUGUGAUCUGCCUGCUGCCCCUCGGGCUUGGGACCGGACCUCAGAGCCACCGUCGGGUCACGGCGGCCAUUCCCAUGGCUGUGCUGGUGCCCCCUGGGCCAGCGGUGGCCGUGUGCGAUUUUGUCAGUCGUUUCCUUCUUUAAAAGAAUUUUUUUUUAAUCUUUAUUUUGAGAGAGAGACAGAGUGUGAGCAGGGGAGGGGCAGAGAGAGGGGGAGACACAGAAUCCAAGGCAGGCUCCAGGCUCCGAGCUGUCAGCCCGGAGCCCGACGUGGGGCUCGAACCCACGAACUGUGAGAUCAUGACCUGAGCCAAAGUCGGACACCGAACCGACUGAGCCACCUAGGCGCCCCUCGUCGGUCGUUUCUGACUCGCCAUUGGUGCUGGCUGCAGCGAGGAGGAGCCGGGGUGCCCGCCACGUGCCGCUGGACACCAUGGCCUCUGUGCCCCGGAAGUGUGGCUGGCCCGCAGCGAGGGGCUUCGGGGCGGAGACCCACCCGACGGGGAGACUUGGCACAGAUCGCGAGACGGCAGGUGAAUAACGCGCUAUAUGCGUUAUGUGGCCGGGUGGUAGUGUUUUAGACCGAUCCGGUUAAGCCUAUCAUUCACAUUAACUCUGUGUUUCCUUUUCCUUUUACGAUAUGGGCAGCUCCUGGAAAACUCAACAGCCGAGGGGCGCUCGGCUGGCUCUGUCAGAGGAUCGUGCAGCUUUUGAUCUCGGGGUUGUGAGUUCCAGCCCCACGCUGGGUGUAGAGAUUAUUAUUUAAAACAAUUUUUUUUUAAAUGUUUUUAUUUAUUUUUGAGACAGAGGGAAACAGAGUGUGAGCAGGGGAGGGGCAGAGAGAGGGGGAGACACAGAAUCCGAAGGAGGCUCCAGGCUCCGAGCUGUCAGCCCGGAGCCCGACGUGGGGCUCGAACCCACGGAGUGUGAGAUCAUGACCUGAGCCGAAGUCGGACGCUCAACCGACAGAGCCACCCAGGCGCCCCUAGAGAUUAUUUAAUAAAAUCUUAAAAAAAAAAGUUGAGUCUGUGGCUCAUACGGUAUUUCUUUGGACGGAGCUGGGCCACAGCCGCCUUCUCAGAACACACGUGCACGGACACGCACGCAAAUGAGCACACGCCAUCACACGCAAACACGGGCGUGUGUCUGUG